UAGAUACUUAAAAAUUAAAAAAUUUGGCGGUAAUUUAAUCUUGUUAGAGGAAUUUGUCUUUUAAUCGAUAAACCACGAAAGAUUUUGCUUAUUUUUGUUAAAGAUUCAGUUUGUAUACCAUCAUUAUCGGGUAAUUCUAAAAAGAGAAAUUUCUGUAAUUAAAUAGUUAAAAAAAUUAGAUCAUGGUGCAGCUAAUAAAUAAGUUAAGAUGAAUUACAAUAAAUUAUUUUAUUACGAAUUAAUAAUUUAAAUAUUAUUAAGAAGGAGGAUUUAAUUGUAUUUUGAGUUUAGUAAGCUCAUGAGAAAUAAGCUCUAAAUUAUGUACAUAUCGCCCGUCGCUUUCGUUUAUAAAUGAAAUAAGUCGUAACAUAGUAGGAGUACCGGAAGGUGUACCUAGAUUUAAG
rnacentral:rRNA from 1 species